rnacentral:lncRNA from 1 species
AUCCGCAAGUAUGUGAUUGUCAUAUGAGAUAAAUUUAGACACAAAAUACUAACAAUAUCGUCGUUGGCUAGAUUAGAAGAAAAAAUUGGUGUUUUGGCAGGAACAGAAGGAGAUCAUGUGGCGAUCAUCUGACUCUUUUCUUUCUUCUUUCUGAACAAGGGCUUCCCAAUCCAGUUAAGUCUAGCUGAGAAGAAGAAGAGGAAAGGGCGAAGAAAGAAGAGAGAAAGAGAGAGCGGAGGGAUAAGAGAGGAACCUAAAAAUCGUCCAUGGCUCCAAGCAUGAAUAGUUAUCUCCAAAGAGAUCUCAUUUUGUCGAUGGCUAUAUUAUCUGAUCCGAAAUUGACCACUCCCCUGAUUUGUCAAUCAUACCAAGAGAAUGAUCUUCUUCUCAUGGUCCGCUAUAGAGUUUCGCUAAAUUAAGACUUUGGAAAAUCAUCAAUGUAGUAGAUAAGCCAAGGUAUUCUGGGAUAUAUGAACUCUUUGGUCAAGUUGUACGAGUUUUGAAUUUGUGGAAAAGAAAAGUUUUUCUUUCCUUCUAGCAGUAAUCGAAGGCUGAAGCAAUUAGACUGGCUCUGUUUAGAGGAAUACACUAGUCUUGGUGUAGCGGGCAUUCAACCAUGAUCUUCCUCAACCCCCUUCGAUUGCUGCCCACCCUCCACCUCCUCUCCAGGAACCCU